CCUACGGGUGGCAGCAGUGGGGAAUAUUGGGCAAUGGGCGCAAGCCUGACCCAGCAACGCCGCGUGAAGGAAGAAGGCUUUCGGGUUGUAAACUUCUUUUCUGAGGGACGAAGAAAGUGACGGUACCUCAGGAAUAAGCCACGGCUAACUACGUGCCAGCAGCCGCGGUAAUACGUAGGUGGCAAGCGUUAUCCGGAUUUACUGGGUGUAAAGGGCGUGUAGCCGGGAAGGCAAGUCAGAUGUGAAAUCUGGAGGCUCAACCUCCAAAUUGCAUUUGAAACUGUUUUUCUUGAGUACUGGAGAGGCAGACGGAAUUCCUUGUGUAGCGGUGAAAUGCGUAGAUAUAAGGAGGAACACCAGUGGCGAAGGCGGUCUGCUGGACAGCAACUGACGGUGAGGCGCGAAAGCGUGGGGAGCAAACAGGAUUAGAUACCCCUGUAGUC
rnacentral:rRNA from 1 species